rnacentral:tRNA from 1 species
GCAGGAAUGGCGGAACGGUAGACGCUCUUGAUUUAGAAUCAAGCUUUUGAGAGUUCGAAUCUCUCUUCCUGUA